rnacentral:rRNA from 1 species
AUGGACAAUGAGUACUCAAUGCGAUACUAUCUCACCGAUGGCAUCUAUCCCGAAUGGGCAACUCUUGUGAAGUCCAUCAAGGAGAAAAAUGGGGUGCCCUUAACAAGAAAAGAGGCUCAUUUCACCAGGGCACAAGAGGCAGCCCGCAAGGAUAUUGAGAGAGCUUUCGGUGUUUUGCAAGCAAGGUUUGCCAUAGUUCGUGGUCCAGCUCGGUUUUGGGACAAAAAAACCUUAAUGAACAUCAUGAAAUGUUGUGUGAUUCUACACAACAUGAUCCUAGAGGAUGAAAGAGGGUUAAACCUCCCUUGUUUCUAUGACAAUGUUGGUACCCGUGUGCAACCGGAAAGAAAUCCUUCUCGCAUACACGCUUUUCUUCAAGCACAUCGUGAGAUUGAGGAUGCAACCACUCAUGGUCGGCUCCGGGAUGAUCUAAUAGAGCACCACUAG